rnacentral:rRNA from 1 species
UGGGGAAUAUUGCACAAUGGGGGAAACCCUGAUGCAGCGACGCCGCGUGAACGAAGAAGGUAUUCGUAUCGUAAAGUUCUGUCCUAUGGGAAGAUAAUGACAGUACCAUAGAAGAAAGCUCCGGCUAAAUACGUGUCAGCAGCCGCGGUAAUACGUAUGGAGCGAGCGUUGUCCGGAAUAAUUGGGCGUAAAGGGUACGCAGGCGGUUUAAUAAGUCGAAUGUUAAAGAUCGGGGCUCAACCCCGUAAAGCAUUGGAAACUUAUAAACUUGAGUAGUGGAGAGGAAAGUGGAAUUCCUAGUGUAGUGGUGAAAUACGUAGAUAUUAGGAGGAAUGCCAGUGGCGAAGGCGACUUUCUGGACACAAACUGACGCUGAGGUACGAAAGCGUGGGGAGCAAACAGG